UACGGGGGGGGCGAGCGUUGUUCGGAAUUACUGGGCGUAAAGGGUUCGUAGGUGGCCUGCUAAGUCAGACGUGAAAUCCCUCAGCUUAACUGGGGAACUGCGUCUGAAACUGGCGGGCUUGAGUGCAGGAGAGGAACGCGGAAUUCCAGGUGUAGCGGUGAAAUGCGUAGAUAUCUGGAGGAACACCGGUGGCGAAGGCGGCGUUCUGGACUGCUACUGACACUGAGGAGCGAAAGCAUGGGGAGCGAACAGG
rnacentral:rRNA from 1 species